GAUUUCUGGUUAAUUGUCCUAGCCCGCUCGCUUCGGUGGGUGAGUGCUGGUACAACUAGCCAUCCUUCCAGAGAGCCGUGAGUACCCUUCACUGGGCCGCUCGCGUUUGCGAUCUGGAUCUUUUACUUUGAAAAAAUUAGAGUGUUUAAAGCAGGCUUUUGCUAUGAAUACAUUAGCAUGGAAUAAUAAUCUAGGACUUCGGUUCUAUUUUGUUGGUUUCUAUAACUGAAGUAAUGAUUGAUAGGGAUAGUUGGGGGUGCUAGUAUUGGCCGGCCAGAGGUGAAAUUCUUGGAUUCGGUCAAGACUAACUUAUGCGAAAGCAUU
rnacentral:rRNA from 1 species